UGAAGCCUUAAACAGCUCUGAGUAAGCUAACAAAAUAAGAUAAUAAGGUUCUCGUGCUGAGGAGCUGAGUAUACGACGCUGAUCACCA
rfam:Ailuropoda melanoleuca scaffold22_18, whole genome shotgun sequence.